rnacentral:ncRNA from 1 species
GCAGAGUAGGAACACACGUGACCAGUGCCGGAAAAACGGGGAGUUGUUUUCCGGACGAAAAGGAGAGAAGGAUAGCCUUCCUCCUGCAGUGUGUGUUCCGCAUCCCGCUGC